rnacentral:rRNA from 1 species
AGAGUUAAAUAGUACGUGAAAUUGUUGAAAGGGAAACGAUUGAAGUCAGUCAUGCUAGUGAAAAAUCAGUUUGACGGGUUUUGAGUUUGGCAGUAGAGGCAGGGUCAAACCGUUUCUCUUUUGAACUUGGGAUUUGUUGGAUGUACUUUUUCUUUGGCAGGUCAGCGUCGGUUUCGGAGGUUGUAAAAUACUUGGGGGAAAGUAGCUCUGCUUCGGGAGAGUAUUAUAGACCCUGGGGGAUGCAGCCUGUGGGAUCGAGGAUUGCAGCAAAUGCCUUUGGCUUGUCGCCUGAUCUCUGGAUGUUACCUCUCUUGUGACAACAUUCUUGCCACCGGGGAGUACUAAUGCCCAUUAGGUUAGAACGUGAUUACAUUCGUUAAGGACGUUGGCGUAAUGGCUUUAAACGACC